GGGAAUGUGGCUUAGUGGUAGAGUGCUUGCCUAGCAUGCAUGAAGCCCUAGGUUCGAUUCCCCAGUAUCA
rnacentral:tRNA from 1 species